ACUCCUACGGGAGGCAGCAGUAAGGAAUAUUGCGCAAUGGGCGAAAGCCUGACGCAGCGACGCCGCGUGGGGGAUGAAGGUCUUCGGAUUGUAAACCCCUUUCGGGAGGGAAGAUGGAGCGAGCAAUCGUUCGGACGGUACCUCCAGAAGCAGCCACGGCCAACUUCGUGCCAGCAGCCGCGGUAAUACGAAGGUGGCAAGCGUUGUUCGGAUUCACUGGGCGUACAGGGUGUGUAGGCGGUUUGGUAAGCCUUCUGUUAAAGCUUCGGGCCCAACCCGGAANGCGCAGAGGGUACUGCCAGGCUAGAGGGUGGGAGAGGAGCGCGGAAUUCCCG
rnacentral:rRNA from 1 species